rnacentral:lncRNA from 1 species
GAAUACUUGGAAACUGUGGAUAUAGUUUGGAUAUGUCAGAACCCGGGCACCCUUGAUGGGGUGUUUCGUAGACCCUUAGAGGGGUUAGUUUGCGAGCGUAGGACUUGCCACAGGCGUAUGAGUAUUGAGGAUUCUGCUGUAUGUGCUGGUGAGCUUAGUCCCCCGGUUGGACGACUCGUCCCUGGCCACAUGCUUGUUGAGGAUUCCUCCGUGUAGUUCAGCCAAACGAUUCCCAUGUUGGAUUAUUUUUCCCGAU